rnacentral:tRNA from 1 species
GAGGAGAUAGCUCAAUUGGUAGAGCGCCACUUUCGGGUGGAGGUUAUGGGUUCGAGGCCCAUUCUCUUUUUCA